UACGUAGGGAGCAAGCGUUGUCCGGAAUCAUUGGGCGUAAAGCGCGCGUAGGUGGUCCUGUAAGUCCGCUGUGAAAGUCAAAGGCUCAACCUUUGAAAGCCGGUGGAUACUGCGGGACUAGAGUACGGAAGAGGCGAGUGGAAUUCCUGGUGUAGCGGUGGAAUGCGCAGAUAUCAGGAGGAACACCAAUAGCGAAGGCAGCUCGCUGGGACGUUACUGACACUGAGGCGCGAAAGCGUGGGGAGCGAACAGG
rnacentral:rRNA from 1 species